UGUGGCUCUGCCAUUCCGGCUUCCACAUGCCGGCUAACACGCACUGGGCCGGGUCUCUGCUCUCCAGCAAGGGAGGCGGACGAGAGCUUCUUUGCACCUACGAGGGGUGUCCUCUCAUUUCUCACCAAACGGGCAGUCGCCAAUAUUCCACAGCAGACCCCACAAG